rnacentral:rRNA from 1 species
GAAAAAAAGUUUGAAUUAUGGCGAGAAAUAAAAGUCUGAAACAUGAUUAAACUCCUAAGCAGAAAACCUACCGCGCUUCGCUUGGUCAACCCCUCAGCGGCAAAAAUUAAAAUUUUUACCGCUUCGGCGUUAUAACCUCACACUCAAUCUUUUAUCACGAAGUCAUGAUUGAAUCGCGAGUGGUCGGCAGAUUGCGAUAAACGGU